UACGAAGGGGGCGAGCGUUGUUCGGAAUUACUGGGCGUAAAGGGCGCGUAGGCGGACAGUUUAGUCAGAGGUGAAAGCCCAGGGCUCAACCUUGGAAUUGCCUUUGAUACUGGCUGUCUUGAGUACGGGAGAGGUGAGUGGAACUCCGAGUGUAGAGGUGAAAUUCGUAGAUAUUCGGAAGAACACCAGUGGCGAAGGCGACUCACUGGCCCGUUACUGACGCUGAGGCGCGAAAGCGUGGGGAGCAAACAGG
rnacentral:rRNA from 1 species